rnacentral:rRNA from 1 species
UACGAAGGGGCUAGCGUUGUUCGGAUUUACUGGGCGUAAAGCGCACGUAGGCGGAUAUUUAAGUCAGGGGUGAAAUCCCGGGCUCAACCCCGGAACUGCCCUUUGAUACUGGGUAUCUUUGAGUCCGGAAGAGGUGAGUGGAAUUCCGGAGUGUAGAGGUGAAAUUCGUAGAUAUUCGGAGGAACACCAGUGGCGAAGGGCGGCUCACUGGUCCGGUACUGACGCUGAGGUGCGAAAGCGUGGG